AUGGCCUGGGCCCCUCUGCUCCUCGCGCUGCUCACUCACUGCUCAGGUUCUCUCGCCCAGUACGAGCUGACUCAGCCACCUUCAGUCUCUGUGUCUCCAGGACAAAAUGCUCAACUCACCUGCUCAGGAGACAACAUUAAUAUUUACCAUGUGCAGUGGUACCAACAGAAACCUGGCAGUGCUCUCGUACAGCUUCUCUAUCAAAACAACAAGAGAGUCCCUGGAAUCCCGGAGCGAUUCUCCGGGGCCAACUCCGGUAACACGGCCACAUUAACCAUCACUGGAGUCCAGGCGCAGGACGAGGCUGAUUAUUACUGUCAGGUGUGGGAUGACCCUGCUCACAACGACACAGUCAGAUGGGGAAGUAAGACAUAA